CCUACGGGAGGCAGCAGUAGGGAAUCUUUCACAAUGGGCGAAAGCCUGAUGGAGCAACGCCGCGUGCAGGAUGAAGGCCUUCGGGUUGUAAACUGCUUUUAUAAGCGAGAAAUAUGAUGGUAACUUAUGAAUAAGGAUCGGCUAACUACGUGCCAGCAGCCGCGGUCAUACGUAGGAUCCGAGCAUUAUCCGGAGUGACUGGGUGUAAAGAGUUGCGUAGGUGGCAUAAUAAGUAGCUAGUGAAAUCUGGUGGCUCAACCAUUCAGACUAUUAGCUAAACUGUUAAGCUCGAGACCGUUAGGGGUAACUGGAAUUUCUAGUGUAGGAGUGAAAUCCGUAGAUAUUAGCAGGAACACCAAUAGCGUAGGCAGGUUGCUGGGACGGUUCUGACACUAAGGCACGAAAGCGUAGGGAGCAAACAGGAUUAGAUACCCGUGUAGUC
rnacentral:rRNA from 1 species